ACAACGGCAACCACAAUAAUUUCUACAAUAACAGGAGAUACACAUGCGUACGCAUAGCGUAGGUGUGAUUUUUUUGUUGGUUUGAUCAACCCGACCAUCUUCGUGAUAGGUUUCGAACCGAUCAAAUUUAACAUCAAAUCAUCACUUCCGCCAUGCGUAUGUAUUGUUAAUCUCCAAGCCGUGCGGCCAUCUUCGUGAUAAGCUCGACAUGGUCAAAAUAAUUUGAUUGAACCAGAGGUUUUAUUACGUAAGCUGUGCGGCCAUCUUCGUGAUAGGCUCGACAUGGGUAUAAAAAAAUCGUGCGGCCAUCUUCGCGAUAGGCUCGACACGAUUAAACUCCGUAAAGCGCGAAAAAAAAAAUAAUAAUAACAUGAAGAAUGAUGAUAAAUAAUGGACGGGUUUUGAUUCGUCAUUUCGUAUAUUUGGACAAAUAAACAAAAAUAAAA
rnacentral:lncRNA from 1 species